GUGUCUGUGAUCAUCGUCACGUUACCAAACCAUUAUUAGUCUGGUGUUCCGAAUGUGAUGAAGGACUUUGCGAGGAUUGUUAAGAGCAUCAUAGCUUUUCGAAGAGUUCAAGAAGUCAUGAAACGGUCCCAAUUACCGAAUAUCUUAAGCUACCAGCAAAUAUUUUGCAAAUAGCGCAAUUUUGCAACAACCACAACGAGAAAUACGAACCUUUCUGUAGAAAACACGACUCUCCAUGCUGUAGGAAAUGCGUAGAAGAUCACAACGACUGUAAAGAUUUAACUGAUAUCAGAACCAGAUCCACAAUGUCAAAUCUUCAACUGCGUUCCAGGAAAUGGAACACGCCUUGUCCGAAACCGCUGAGAAUAUCAAAAGAGUCCGUAAAAAUUGUAAGGAAAACAUGGCAUCACUUGCAGAGAGGAGAAAUAUUGUUGAAUUGGAAAUUAAACAAUUUUGAAACAAAAUUAGUGACGAACUGGAUACACUGCAAGAUAAGAUAUUGCAAGAAGUUAAAGCGAUUGAAGAAAAUGAAAGUAGCAAAAUCCGACAUCUAUUGACGUCAUUAAUGCAGAGAGAAAAGGAGAUGUCCGAAUACAAAGUAAAUAUAGAAAACACAAAGCGAUAUGCCUUUAGAUCUUCAGUCAUUCAUUCCGAUGAAACAAAUAGAAAAAGAUAUUAUUAAAGUAGAGAGUUAUAUCCAAUCGAUCAGCAAAAUCAAACAAAUGCAUCACAUCGGUAUUUCAUUUAAGAAAGAUACAAAAUUGCAUGAAUUAACCGCUGUCAUUAAAACGCUUGGAGAAGUUGUUAUGAGUUCUGGAGCAUUUUAUACACCCAUCUAGAAAAGGAGAAAUGAACAAGCUCAGAUAAUUGUACCUCCUUCAACAAAUAAGUUUGAUAAUGUUAGUCUCAAAUUAACACA
rnacentral:lncRNA from 1 species